rnacentral:lncRNA from 1 species
CACCCUGAGGCCAUCUUCCCUCAGCGCUCUCCUCCAUCCCUGGUUCCUUCUUCCUCUGCGUGGCUGCGCCCUUCCACCCCGCUCCCCUCCCCCCGUUCUUCCCCAUUGCUGCCGCACUUCUCUUUUCCCCCCUUCCUCCCCUUUUCCGCCGCUCUCUCCUCUCCUCCUCGCCCCUCUUCGCCGUCUCCUCAGCCCUGGGCGGGAAGGGCGGCGCGGCGCCCUCAGCAUGGCGGGGUGGAACGACCCCCCCUCCCCCGCGCUCUCCCACCGCCGUUCGAGCCUCCCCUAAAAAAGAAGCGUGUUUGGAGCCGGGAGAGGAGGAGGUGGUGGAAAAAAAGGUGGGGGUGGCACCGCUGCUCUCCCGAAGGCGAAAAGGGAGGGGAGCUCGGAUUUUGCGGGGUUCCAUUUUUAAUGAUCGUUAGGGCCGUAGCGCCGUGUGUUAGAAGGGGCUGGGGGUGCAGACGGUGAGUUUCCAGAGGAAUCGAACCGGCGGGAGGAACGCUGGGAGAGAGGCUGAAGAAAAAGGAGCUGUGGUGUGGCUGCUGUAAUGGUGGAAAGCUGACGGAGAGAGGAGGAAAGUGUAAGAAUUCUGCAACACCUCUCCUGCAUUAAUGAGGGUGCAGCACAGGACAGUAAUGGUGUGUGCUCUAGCCUUUGCACUUGUGUGUUCUGUGUGCUGUUAGCAUUCCAGUGUAAUUUUACUUGUUGACUUUUCAGGUAAUUCUGCCAGAAUUUCACUACAUUUCGUGAUGUCCGCAGUGCGGGUACAUUCUUCUGUCACAACCUCUGGAAGUUGAAUAUUGCUGUUUCUCUUCCCCCCCUAAUGGUGAUAUCAGAUGUAUUUGCUUCCUCAGGGGUGUGGAGAGGGAGGAGAAAUUUGGCUUUUAAGUGUGAGUUAUUGUUUUAUGUUUGAAAGUGUGUUCUGGCGUUAAUGAGCAAAACUGCUUACACUGUGGUUUCAUAAUCACAGCACUAA